CACUGAAAAAAGUGAUUUUGUCGAGUGGUAAAUAUAAUCUGUGGAAACCAUAUAAAAUGUACAUGAUUAUUGCAGGCAGCCAACGAAUCCUAAAGUAAUGGGUAAAUUCUACAUAUGCUACCCAUUCAUCAACAGUAAGAAUCAUCACAUAGAAAAAUGGAGUAAAAUAUACCCCCAAAACGUGAGUUUUUUGCUUUAAAUUGCGCAUGCGUAGGCCCGCGGUUUCUUUUUGAGUGAGUGUGGGCGACGCUGGAUCCUCUCUCUGGCUGCCAUCGAACAGCAGAAGUGAAGUUGAUAGCCUACAGUGUCAACAGAAGUGAAAACGGAUCAAAGAAAUUGAAGUGGUCAGCCUCAGCCCCUCUGUGGGUGUGUUUAUUCUAAAGUUGCCAGCAUUAUUCACUGAAGCUCAGAUCAAGGAGGAGUUUAGACGCAUCACAACAUAUUCCUUGGAGGAGACAUUCACACGGAAGCUUGAUGAGUACUCACGAGGUCUUUUGCGGCUAAUGCGCGCCAAAGGAGAAGUAGCUGGUUGCAAGAUGUGUCCUCUGCUGGACACUUUAAAUGACACACAGAACAUUGAGAAACAUGAGAUGCUGUUGUCUGCUGCCUCAUUAAAGACAAGACUACCUUGGUGAAAAUCAAGAAGAUCUUUUCCAUUACUACCAGGAAUGUGAGGACUACACAGACAAAAACAUGAAGGUGAUUGUGAAGCACAAUGUCAUGGCUGAGGAGGAUCCAGAUUUGUCUAUUGUGAUCGAGGGAAACCAAGUAAUGGAAUCACAGAGUUUAGAUACAACAAAAUGUGAUUGGACUUCUUCCAGUACUGCUCUGAUCUCCUCGCUUCUAGUUUCAUUUUCUACUCUCUCCUCCUCCUAAAACAGCAAUGUUUUAUUAUCCAACAUUAUUGAAACAACAUUUGAUAGUCCAGUGAGUUAACAUGUUCAUUACUUGAAAUGUUGUGUAAAGUUAUUGUGCUGCACUGUAUUUUGAGUGUUUCAUAUGAAUUUUUGGAUUAAAAACAUUGAUCUGAUGAA